rnacentral:sRNA from 1 species
AUGUUGACCCCUGGCUACCUCACUCCCAUUGCCUCUCUCUCGUGCUCCACGUUCCAAGAAUUUUAACCAGCCAACAAGCCAGGAAAGCACCUAAUAC